rnacentral:rRNA from 1 species
ACGAACGCUGGCGGCGUGCUUAACACCUGCAAGUCGAACGGAAAGGCCCUGCUUUUGUGGGGUGCUCGAGUGGCGAACGGGUGAGUAACACGUGAGUAACCUGCCCUUGACUUUGGGAUAACUUCAGGAAACUGGGGCUAAUACCGGAUAGGAGCUCCUGCUGCAUGGUGGGGGUUGGAAAGUUUCGGCGGUUGGGGAUGGACUCGCGGCUUAUCAGCUUGUUGGUGGGGUAGUGGCUUACCAAGGCUUUGACGGGUAGCCGGCCUGAGAGGGUGACCGGCCACAUUGGGACUGAGAUACGGCCCAGACUCCUACGGGAGGCAGCAGUGGGGAAUAUUGCACAAUGGGCGGAAGCCUGAUGCAGCAACGCCGCGUGCGGGAUGACGGCCUUCGGGUUGUAAACCGCUUUCGCCUGUGACGAAGCGUGAGUGACGGUAAUGGGGAAAGAAGCACCGGCGAACUACGU